CAAUAGCGUAUAUUAAAGCUGUUGCGGUUAAAAAGCUCGUAGUUGGAUUUCUGUCAAGGACAACUGGUCCGCCCCUCGGGUGAGCACAUAGUUUGGUCUUGGCAUCUUGUUGGAAACUGUUGCUGCACUUGGUUGUGUGGCGCAGUGUCCAGCACUUUCACUUUGAGGAAAUUGGAGUGUUUCAAGCAGGCACAUGCCUUUGGACACAGUAGCAUGGAAUAAUUAGAUUGGGCUUUUGCUCCAACUUGUCGGUUUCUGGAGCUGAGGUGAGAAUUAAUGGGGAUUGUUGGGGGCAUCCGAAUUUAGCCGUCAGAGGUAAAAUUCUUGGAUCUGCUAAAGACGGACAACUGCGAAAGCGUUUGCCCAGGAUGUUUUCAUUGA
rnacentral:rRNA from 1 species